CUGAUGCAGCGACGCCGCGUGAGGGACGACGGCCUUCGGGUUGUAAACCUCUUUCAGCACAGACGAAGCGCAAGUGACGGUAUGUGCAGAAGAAGGACCGGCCAACUACGUGCCAGCAGCCGCGGUAAUACGUAGGGUCCGAGCGUUGUCCGGAAUUACUGGGCGUAAAGAGCUCGUAGGUGGUUUGUCGCGUUGUUCGUGAAAACUCACAGCUCAACUGUGGGCGUGCGGGCGAUACGGGCAGACUGGAGUACUGCAGGGGAGACUGGAAUUCCUGGUGUAGCGGUGGAAUGCGCAGAUAUCAGGAGGAACACCGGUGGCGAAGGCGGGUCUCUGGGCAGUAACUGACGCUGAGGAGCGAAAGCGUGGGGAGCGAACAGGAUUAGAUACCCUGGUAGUCCACGCCGUAAACGGUGGGUACUAGGUGUGGGUUUCCUUCCUUGGGAUCCGUGCCGUAGCUAACGCAUUAAGUACCCCGCCUGGGGAGUACGGCCGCAAGGCUAAAACUCAAAGAAAUUGACGGGGGCCCGCACAAGCGGCGGAGCAUGUGGAUUAAUUCGAUGCAACGCGAAGAACCUUACCUGGGUUUGACAUGCACAGGACGACGGCAGAGAUGUCGUUUCCCUUGUGGCC
rnacentral:rRNA from 1 species